rnacentral:rRNA from 2 species
CGAUGAAACUUAAAUGAUUUCUUCGGAAUGAACUUAAGUGGAUUAGUGGCGGACGGGUGAGUAACGCGUGAGUAACCUGCCUUACACAAGGGGAUAGCCGUUGGAAACGACGAAUAAUACCCUAUGAAACUAUCACUUCGCAUGAAGCGAUAGUCAAAGUGUUAGCGGUGUAAGAUGGACUUGCGUCUGAUUAGCUAGUUGGUGAGAAAAAAGCCCACCAAGGCAACGAUCAGUAGCCGGCUUGAGAGAGUGUACGGCCACAUUGGGACUGAGACACGGCCCAGACUCCUACGGGAGGCAGCAGUGGGGAAUUUUGCACAAUGGGGGAAACCCUGAUGCAGCGACGCCGCGUGAUUUAGAAGGCCUUCGGGUUGUAAAAAUCUUUUGUAUAGGAAGAAAAUGACAGUACCAUACGAAUAAGGUCCGGCUAAUUACGUGCCAGCAGCCGCGGUAAUACGUAAGGACCGAGCGUUGUCCGGAAUCAUUGGGCGUAAAGGGUACGUAGGCGGGUCAUUAAGUUAGAAGUCAAAGGCUAUAGCUCAACUAUAGUAAGCUUCUAAAACUGGAGACCUUGAGUAAUGGAAGGGAAAGUGGAAUUCCUAGUGUAGCGGUGGAAUGCGCAGAUAUUAGGAGGAAUACCGGUGGCGAAGGCGACUUUCUGGCCAUUAACUGACGCUGAGGUACGAAAGC